UCACACGGGCGAGAGGCUACGGCACACCCAGCUAUUGCUGGUUAUCUUUAGAAGGGGGUCUCCUCUAUGCGUUUGUGGGUCCUGCAGCGGUCAUCGUCCUGGUUAACAUGCUGAUUGGGAUUGUGGUCUUCAACAAGCUCAUGUCCAGGGACGGCAUCUCAGACAAGUCAAAAAAGCAGCGAGC